rnacentral:rRNA from 1 species
UGGGGAAUAUUGGACAAUGGGGGCAACCCUGAUCCAGCAAUGCCGCGUGUGUGAAGAAGGUCUUCGGAUUGUAAAGCACUUUCGACGGGGACGAUGAUGACGGUACCCGUAGAAGAAGCCCCGGCUAACUUCGUGCCAGCAGCCGCGGUAAUACGAGGGGGGCUAGCGUUGCUCGAAAUGACUGGGCGUAAAGGGCGUGUAGGCGGUUUACACAGUCAGAUGUGAAAUCCCCGGGCUUAACCUGGGAGCUGCAUUUGAUACGUGUAGACUAGAGUGUGAGAGAGGGUUUGUGGAAU